AGGCCUUGAAAAACCCUCCAUUUUGUCUUUAAUCCUGCUUCUGACCUCUGGAGGAACCUUGCUACAAACUGAAGCUCUGAACAAAGGACUGAAUGACUCAUCCCAGCUGUGGAUGUGCUCCAGAGACUCGAUUUUGAACCUGCAGUUUAUUGCACCAGUGCCCGAACCAAGAACUGAACCAAGAACUUUGCCAUUACUGUAUAUAAUUGAUUCCAUUUAACCAAUUCUAGCUCUCAUCUAUAUCUUUUUCCUUUUAUGAAUAAACCUUGGUGGGUAUGUAACACAGGGGGGGAGUGGGACUGUGGCACGAGGCUGGGAGGGUACAUAAUGCGUGGUGGAGUGGGUCUGUGGCAUGGGGGGGGUCCAUUGGUUAUGUAACGGGGGGUGGAGAGGGUCUAUUGCAUGGGGCUGGGGAGGGAUGCAAUGCCGCCUGGAGCAGGUCUGUCACAGGGGGCUUGGCGGGGAUGCAAUGUCACUAGGAGCAGGACUGUCACACGGUGCUGGGCAGGUAUGUAACGGGGAGUGUAGUGAGUCUGUUGGCGGGGCUGGGCGAACACAUAAUCGGUGGAAUGGGACUUUGGCACGGGGCCUGUUGAGUUCGUAACAGUGGUGGCGCAGGUCUGUCGUACUGGCUCAUCGGGUAUAUAACACUGGCAGGAAUGGGUCUGUGGGAUGGGGCCCAGUGGGUACAUAACGCAGGGUGAAGCAGGUCUGUUAGACGCUGCUAGGGGUUCGUGAUGUGGAGUGGAGCAGGACUGUGGCAUGGGGCUCAUCAGGUACAUAACUGGGGGUGUAGCGGGUCUGUUGGAUGGGGCUGGGCAGGGACACAAUGCUGCCUGGAGCCGGUCUGUUGCUCGGAGCUGAGCAGGUACGUAAUGUGGGGUGGAGCAGGACUGUCGGACAGGGCUGGGCAGGUAUGUAAUGCAGGGUGGCCCAGGACUGUGGCUCGGGACCUGUUGCAUACGUAACACGGGGUGGAGCAAGACUGUGGCACAGGGCUUGGCACGGAUGCAAUGCCACCUGGAGCGGGUUUGUUGCAUGGGGCUUGGUGGGGACGCAAUGCUGCCUGGAGUGGGAUUGUCACACGGGGCUGGUGGAUGUGUAACGCAGAUGUAGCAGGACUGUGGCACAGGGCUCGGCGGGUAUGUAAUGCAGGGUGGAGCAGGUCUGUGGGACGGGGCUGGACAGGUAUGUGAUGCGUGGUGGAGCAGGUUUGUUUGAUGGGAUUCGGCAGGUAUGCAACGCAGGAUGGAUCGGGACUGUCAGACAGGCCUGAGUGGGUACGUAACAUGGGGUGGAGCGGGACUGUUGCAUGGGCACAUCGGGUACAUAACGCAGGGUGCAUACUCUGACAAGAAUGUGUGAGCGCAGUAGAGGAGUAUGAAAUACGGUAACCCAGGACUUUGAACACUCUGAUAUAGUGUUUGACCAGUAGGGCGCACAAGUAGCAUGCCAUAUCUGCAAUCAUCAGUUAGGGAGCUCCUGCUGUUUGGUACUGAGUUGUUCACCCGGUGGAGGCAAGAGAUCCCAUCUGAAGAGGGACCA